rnacentral:rRNA from 1 species
UGGGGAAUAUUGCACAAUGGGCGCAAGCCUGAUGCAGCCAUGCCGCGUGUAUGAAGAAGGCCUUCGGGUUGUAAAGUACUUUCAGCGAGGAGGAAGGCGUUGUGGUUAAUAACCGCAGCGAUUGACGUUACUCGCAGAAGAAGCACCGGCUAACUCCGUGCCAGCAGCCGCGGUAAUACGGAGGGUGCAAGCGUUAAUCGGAAUUACUGGGCGUAAAGCGCACGCAGGCGGUCUGUAAAGUCGGAUGUGAAAUCCCCGGGCUCAACCUGGGAACUGCAUCCGAAACUGGCAGGCUAGAGUCUUGUAGAGGGGGGUAGAAUUCCAGGUGUAGCGGUGAAAUGCGUAGAGAUCUGGAGGAAUACCGGUGGCGAAGGCGGCCCCCUGGACAAAGACUGACGCUCAGGUGCGAAAGCGUGGGGAGCAAACA